rnacentral:siRNA from 1 species
UUGAGGGGAAUUGUGUGUCUG